AGUAGAGUUGUUGUUUUUUUCUUUUUAAGGUUAUCUCUGAAAAACAAAUUUCGUUCCGAAGGAAAAAAUCAAUAUUUCAUUGGUUACACAUUCAGUAAACUAAUACACAUUUGUUUUUUUUCAUUUUGAAUGUAUCCUAUAGAUCAAGACUAAGAAUAAGACUUAUUGUAGAUGACUUCUACUAGUAAUAAAUAACUAAGAUAGAAGGCAAUAAAAAGGAUAAAUUUAUAGAAGGGAGAAAAGUAGUAUAUUGUAAAUAGUGUGUCCGAAGACAGUUACCUCCCAUUUGUAUUGAUUUUUCCCCUCAGCUUUCUUAUAAGCUACAGAGUGUGCUAUUAAAAACAACAUUAGGACAAGUGAAUUGUUGUAUGAAAUUACCGUACGCUAAAACAAUUAAAACAUAAAGCAUACGUAUGGUAUAAAAACAAUAAUGAAUGAACACAAAUUACUCAAGGAAUUCUUUAUGAACAGCUAAACAACUUUACAUUGAAAUGAGUGACAAUUUCAGAAAGAUUUUACCGCAGUAAAUUGACUCGAAACAGUAAGUCUUAGAGCUGUGUGUCCGCAGUAAAUGGAUCCAUAACAGUAUGUAUUAGAUUAGAGCUGUGUGUCCGCAUUUAAAUUGGAUUUUUAACAGUCUGUGUUAGAUUAGAGCUGUGUGUCCGCAUUAACUUGAUUUAUAACAGUCUGUGUUAGAUAAGC